AAGCUUGCAGCCACAGAAUUCUCACAGUGAUGGGCCUCCUCUUGCCCCGUGUCAGUCAAGGCCAUGGUGGUCAAAGCCAUCCUUUCUUAUGGAUCAACAGCUUCAUCCUGUGCCAUCAACUGUGACAAAUUCUGUGGUCAGUAGGAUA
rnacentral:pre_miRNA from 1 species